UGACCUCAAAUCAGGUAGGACUACCCGCUGAACUUAAGCAUAUCAAUAAGCGGAGGAAAAGAAACUAACAAGGAUUCCCCUAGUAACUGCGAGUGAAGCGGGAAAAGCUCAAAUUUAAAAUCUGGCGGUCUCUUGGCUGUCCGAGUUGUAAUCUAGAGAAGUGUUAUCCGCGCUGGACCGUGUACAAGUCUCCUGGAAUGGAGCAUCAUAGAGGGUGAGAAUCCCGUCUUUGACAUGGACUGCCAGGGCUCUGUGAUGCGCUCUCAAAGAGUCGAGUUGUUUGGGAAUGCAGCUCAAAAUGGGUGGUAAAUUCCAUCUAAAGCUAAAUAUUGGCGAGAGACCGAUAGCGAACAAGUACCGUGAGGGAAAGAUGAAAAGAACUUUGGAAAGAGAGUUAAACAGUACGUGAAAUUGCUGAAAGGGAAACGCUUGAAGUCAGUCGCGUCAUCCAGGGAUCAACCUUGCUUUUGCUUGGUGCACUUUCUGGUUUGAUGGGUCAGCAUCAAUUUUGACCAUUGGAAAAAGGUUAGGGGAAUGUGGCAUCUUUGGAUGUGUUAUAGCCCUUGGUCACAUACAAUGGUUGGGAUUGAGGAACUCAGCAUGCCGCAAGGCCGGGUUUUAAAACCACGUUCGUGCU
rnacentral:rRNA from 1 species